rnacentral:rRNA from 1 species
GCUUGCUGGGGGAUUAGUGGCGAACGGGUGAGUAACACGUGAGUAACCUGCCCUUGACUCUGGGAUAAGCCUGGGAAACUGGGUCUAAUACCGGAUACGACCAUCUGGCGCAUGUCAUGGUGGUGGAAAGCUUUUGUGGUUUUGGAUGGACUCGCGGCCUAUCAGCUUGUUGGUGGGGUAAUGGCCUACCAAGGCGACGACGGGUAGCCGGCCUGAGAGGGUGACCGGCCACACUGGGACUGAGACACGGCCCAGACUCCUACGGGAGGCAGCAGUGGGGAAUAUUGCACAAUGGGCGCAAGCCUGAUGCAGCGACGCCGCGUGAGGGAUGACGGCCUUCGGGUUGUAAACCUCUUUCAGUAGGGAAGAAGCGAAAGUGACGGUACCUGCAGAAGAAGCGCCGGCUAACUACGUGCCAGCAGCCGCGGUAAUACGUAGGGCGCAAGCGUUAUCCGGAAUUAUUGGGCGUAAAGAGCUCGUAGGCGGUUUGUCGCGUCUGCUGUGAAAGACCGGGGCUCAACUCCGGUUCUGCAGUGGGUACGGGCAGACUAGAGUGCAGUAGGGGAGACUGGAAUUCCUGGUGUAGCGGUGAAAUGCGCAGAUAUCAGGAGGAACACCGAUGGCGAAGGCAGGUCUCUGGGCUGUAACUGACGCUGAGG